GAUUACCAUUUUUUUUUAACUCAGUGAGUGGUACUCAGCCACCUGAAUAAAGGACUAAUGAGUAUAUUUUAGUAUUGAUUGAGGAUUCUGUUUUUGCUGGGUAGGUGCAGUAGAAAAUAUAGCAGUCUAAGGGAAUUGAGGAUGCAGUGAGAGAAUAAUAAAUUGUGAUGGUGAGUGCUGAAUAGGGAAAGACAAGAAGCCAGAAAAAGACUGAGCUUCUUAGGAAAACAUUAAUGGAUCACAAACUUGGAGGGCUGUAUGGUUUUUCAUUUAAGAAAGUAAUUGUCGUGCAAU
rnacentral:lncRNA from 1 species